UUUAAUUAGUACAGCCUGUAUUAGUAAUGUCAUCUAUUCUUUACAGGCUAUGCUAAUCUAUG
rnacentral:pre_miRNA from 1 species